UGGGGAAUAUUGCGCAAUGGGCGAAAGCCUGACGCAGCGACGCCGCGUGAGGGAUGAAGGUUUUCGGAUCGUAAACCUCUGUCAGAAGGGAAGAAACUACGUUGUGCUAAUCAGCAGCGUACUGACGGUACCUUCAAAGGAAGCACCGGCUAACUCCGUGCCAGCAGCCGCGGUAAUACGGAGGGUGCAAGCGUUAAUCGGAAUUACUGGGUGUAAAGCGCACGUAGGCUGUAGUGUAAGUCAGGGGUGAAAUCCCACGGCUCAACCGCGGAACUGCCUUUGAUACUGCACAACUUGAAUCCGGGAGAGGGUGGCGGAAUUCCAGGUGUAGGAGUGAAAUCCGUAGAUAUCUGGAGGAACAUCAGUGGCGAAGGCGGCCACCUGGACCGGUAUUGACGCUGAGGUGCGGAAGCGUGGGGAGCAAACAG
rnacentral:rRNA from 1 species